ensembl:snoRNA
CUGCAUCCACUGGUAGACCUUGGACAGUUUGCUGGUUUGUUUUUUUUUUUUGGUUUGGUUUGCUCUGGGGAUGCAAAAGAGGGAAAUCCCUGCACUUCCUCUCUGUCUUUGUGGCAGCCGGGAUUGAACUGGGGAAUGCAUCU